GCCUCCUCCUCUUCCUCCUCCAUCUUUCUCCGCAGCCGAACUCUCUUGUGGUGAUUCCUUAGAUUUCAUGAUGGCAUAGACGAUAGCAAGAUCGUGGACAUGCUUUCCACAGGCUUUCUUGAACUGUGAACUCUCCGUGGUCCUUUUUCGCUUCCUUGAUCCUUUCUUCCCGAGGAAGAACUCCAAGGAAGAAGAAGAGGAGGAGUAGGAGGAGGAGGAGGGGAUGGUGACCGCCGUUGAUAGUUCAAGAAAGCCCGUGGAAACCGUGACAGAUCUUUCCGAGUCUUGGAUGUAGGUUUUGUAUGAUUUCUUCCGCUCGCUGAAUUAGUGUGUUCUGUGUUGAUUGGGUGGGAAUCGUACUGGAACAACUGAUUACAUGUUUCACAUAUCCCAAUUGUGCGAUUGCCUGUUAUGAAUCGAUUGAAUUCUGAUUUAAGUAGUUGUUUUCCUCAUCUGGAAGAUGCUUUCUUUUGAGAUCUUGCCUUCUUUGAUAAGCAACUGGUCUUGUUUUUGUUGCAGAAUUGGAGAAUACGGAGCUAAAAGCCCCAGAAGCAUUGUAGGAUUCAGCAAGGCUGAGAUGAUGUGUGCACUAAAAGGUUGCCAGAAGUCAAACCAAGCCUCAUGCUGCUCCACUCCAACUAUUGACAUGUUCCAUGAAACAAGAAAUUAAAUCCAGGCAAUGGCAGUGUCUUUGAUGGCUUUGAAGAAGAACAGCCAGAACACAAGGCAGAUGGAUCAAUUUAUUGUGGACUCAAUGCUUAUGGUGCAAAAUGCUAGUUUUUAUUUUGAGACAAAGGACCAGCGACCAUUCCAGCUCAGAGAUGAAAAGGCAGGACAGUUUUUAAGGAGUGCCAUCUCAGUUGUGGGAGGACUUGGUGGGGAUACUGUGGCACCAAGAGACAAGAUACAGCAAGAUGGCACAUUUUCAUAGCUGAAAACCUCAACAUACAUAUACCUACAUUAUCUGUUCGUCUUUCGUGACACAUACUUGGCUUCUAACUCGAACAAAGAUCCAUUGCUCACUAACAGCAGGUUUACAUUUUUGGCUCCAGGAGGAGGAAGAAGAGAGAUUAAUUAUUUUGGAUCAAUGACAUAUGAUAAAAUUAAUGGAUUGUGGAUUCGAUUCGAGAAUCCCAUGUAUAGCGGAAUCUCGUGAACGGGGGUUGUAAUUAAAUCCAGGGGAUGGCAGUGUCUUUGAUGGCUUUGAAGAAGAAUAGCCAGAACACAAGGCAGAUGGAUCAAUUUAUUGUGGACUCAAUGCUUAUGGUGCAAAGUGCAAGUUUUUUGUUUUUGUGAGACACAGGACCAGCGACCAUUCCAGCUCAGAGAUGAAAAAGCAGGACAGUAAGGAGUGCCAUCUCAAUCGUGGGAGGACAUGGUGGGGAUACUGUGGCACCAAGAGACAAGAUACAGCAAGAUGGCACAUUUCCAUAGCUGAAAACCUGAACAUACAUACUAUACAUGCAUUAUCUGUUCGUCUUUCCUGACUCAUACUUAGCUUCUAACUCGAACAAAGAUCCAUUGCUCACUAACAGCAGGUUUACAUUUUUGGCUCCAGGAGGAGGACGAAGAGAGAUUAAUUAUUUUGGAUCAAUGACAUAUGAUCGAAUUAAUGGAUUCGAUUGGAGAAUCCCAUAUAUAUAGCGGAAUCUCGUGAACGGGGAUUGUAAUGGUGAUCCGAUGGUCCAAAGCCGGGACGAAUCGGUAAAAAGAUCCACCCUACUUGCGCCGGGUCGAUGGGCGAAUCGCCCGAAUAACGGCAUCCGCGUCUUGAUUUCCUUUCUCUUCCCUCGUUUGGUCAUCCCACUUGACAUCGGCCUCAACCUCACCUGAGAAGAUCGUGGCCGAGGAUAUAUGGAUUGGAGGAUCGGGCAUGGAAUAAGGUGCAAAGUUAGGGUUUGUACUCGUGUCUCACUGAUGAUGCAAAUAUAUCGGUGAUUAUUCUGUAAAAGCUCGAUAACUAUUCUUGCAGUAUGAAGUGUAGAAUUGAAGUAGUCGGGAUCGAGUUGCCCUCUCGCAUAGCUGGCGUGGGGCUUCAUCGGGCUUUUGAGAGGUGACAUCGACCUGGACGGUCGAUACUACCUUCCGUGCAUGACUCCUUGCUGCAUGUACAUUUACUUUGCAAGAUCACCCUUAAUUUCAUGUUGUAGAAUCUAAAAGAAACAUAUAAACAGAUUGAAAUUCUGAU